rnacentral:rRNA from 1 species
CCCGCCGGCGACCGGCGCACGGGUGAGUAACACGUAUGCAACCUGGCCGCCACAGGGGGAUAACCCGCGGAAACGCGGCCUAAUACCCCGUGACGCCACCGGAGGGCAUCCUCCGGUGGCCAAAGGAGCGAUCCGGUGGCGGAUGGGCAUGCGGCGCAUUAGCUAGACGGCGGGGUGACGGCCCACCGUGGCGACGAUGCGUAGGGGUUCUGAGAGGAAGGCCCCCCACACUGGGACUGUGACACGGCCCAGACUCCUACGGGAGGCAGCAG